CCUACGGGAGGCAGCAGUAGGGAAUCUUCCACAAUGGACGAAAGUCUGAUGGAGCAACGCCGCGUGAGCGAUGAAGGCCUUCGGGUCGUAAAGCUCUGUUGUUAGGGAAGAACAAGUACCGGAGUAACUGCCGGUACCUUGACGGUACCUAACCAGAAAGCCACGGCUAACUACGUGCCAGCAGCCGCGGUAAUACGUAGGUGGCAAGCGUUGUCCGGAAUUAUUGGGCGUAAAGCGCGCGCAGGCGGUUCCUUAAGUCUGAUGUGAGAGCCCCCGGCUCAACCGGGGAGGGUCAUUGGAAACUGGGGAACUUGAGUGCAGAAGAGGAGAGCGGAAUUCCACGUGUAGCGGUGAAAUGCGUAGAGAUGUGGAGGAACACCAGUGGCGAAGGCGGCUCUCUGGUCUGUAACUGACGCUGAGGCGCGAAAGCGUGGGGAGCGAACAGGAUUAGAUACCCUGGUAGUCCACGCCGUAAACGAUGAGUGCUAAGUGUUAGAGGGUUUCCGCCCUUUAGUGCUGCAGCAAACGCAUUAAGCACUCCGCCUGGGGAGUACGGCCGCAAGGCUGAAACUUAAAGGAAUUGACGG
rnacentral:rRNA from 1 species